rnacentral:lncRNA from 1 species
AUGUUGGUCCGAGGGCGGAUGAACACACACGAGCAGCGGGGCCGCGACGUCGAGUGGGGUGAGGGUCCUCUCUGUCGCGUUCAGAGGAGGUACCGGUUCUGGCUGAUGGAGUUUAUUGAAUUAGCCGUACGCCCGAGGCACGUUAAACAUCAUUUCUCUCCCGAAGGAUCUGAACCCUGGGCCACCGCAGCGGAGUGUGCGAACUUAACCACUCGGCCACGGAGCCGGCCCCCGAAGCUGGAUUUUAAGGAACAGAAGCAGUCACACUCAGUUCGCAGGAGCUGUGGGAAACGUGUGCUGGGAACCCUCAUCCAACAUGAACUCCCCGAGUGGAAGAAGCUGGACCACGGUCAGGAAAAUGAAGCUGAUGUGCCAUAA